rnacentral:tRNA from 1 species
UGAGAUAUGGUGUAAUGGUAGCACUCAAGUUUUUGGCACUUGCAGUAGAAGUUCGAAUCUUCUUAUCUCAA